CUUCAAGGGAGUUUUACUGGACAGGUAAGCAGCAUGAGGAUUAUGUGCAUUCAGCUACAGUAUUAAGCUGCUACAUGUAGAAGAUCUUAUUCCUGUAGUAGUUUUUAUUUUUUAAAUAUUUCUCAUUUAACAUUUUUUCUUGUGUUUGAAAAUUCAGGGAGGAGUAGUCAUGGCCAAUAAACCAGAAGGAAAAAAUAAGUUUGGUUUUCCAGAUUUGUUUGGUUUGGAUCCCAUGCUAGGCACAAGAAAUACUAUAAUCACUUCUCAAGGUAAGAAUAGCUCUGUAAAAUGUUUUCUUUCCCAACCUCCACUCUUUGCUAUUAUUCAAGGAUCCCAAAGCUCAUUUGGCAUCUUCAGAGAUAAAGAAUGUCAUUUUGAAAGACACUAAGAUUUCUCUCAGUUUAGUCAAACACUGCAUUACCAUUUCUGCACAAAUAUUA
rnacentral:lncRNA from 1 species